rnacentral:rRNA from 1 species
GACGAACGCUGGCGGCGUGCUUAACACAUGCAAGUCGAACGGUGAAGCGCCUUCCUUUUUGGUGGGUGUGGAUGAGUGGCGAACGGGUGAGUAACACGUGAGUAACCUGCCCCCUUCUUCUGGAUAACCGCAUGAAAGUGUGGCUAAUACGGGAUAUUCUGGGUCUGUCGCAUGAUGGGUCUGGGAAAGAUAUUGUUUCGGUGGGGGAUGGGCUCGCGGCCUAUCAGCUUGUUGGUGGGGUGAUGGCCUACCAAGGCGGUGACGGGUAGCCGGCCUGGGAGGGUGGACGGUCACACUGGGACUGAGACACGGCCCAGACUCCUACGGGGGGCAGCAGUGGGGAAUAUUGCACAAUGGGCGCAAGCCUGAUGCAGCGACGCCGCGUGAGGGAUGGCGGCCUUCGGGUUGUGAACCUCUUUCGCCAGUGAAGCAGGCCUGCCUCGUUUGUGGGUGGGUUGACGGUAGCUGGAGAAGAAGCGCCGGCUAACUACGUG